AUUCAGUGCUGAAGUGCUUUCUUAACAUUCUUACUGCUCAGUGACAUGGUGUGUUGUUUGUGUCCUGCAAAUUAAUAUUAUCAAGGCCAGUUGCCUGGAGACAGCCCUAGCCUGUGGCCAGCUGAGAUCAGGUCCUCAGGAUCCAUCAGCACAAGAGGACUUAUGGUGACCUUCUGAGGAUCACUGACAUCAGUCACCACUGAAGCACAUACUUCUCCUUCCCUUUAUUCCCUGCCAAAAAUACCAUGGCCAAGGGACACAGGAGACAGGAAGACAGCUCAGGUAGCUUUUGGAAAGUUUCAUCACAGUGC
rnacentral:lncRNA from 1 species